rnacentral:misc_RNA from 1 species
GAAAUGCGAUAAGUAAUGUGAAUUGCAGAAUUCAGUGAAUCAUCGAAUCUUUGAACGCAUAUUGCGCCCGCCAGUAUUCUGGCGGGCAUGCCUGUUCGAGCGUCAUUACAACCCUCAGGCCCCCGGGCCUGGCGUUGGGGAUCGGCGGAAGCCCCCUGCGGGCACAACGCCGUCCCCCAAAUACAGUGGCGGUCCCGCCGCAGCUUCCAUUGCGUAGUAGCUAACACCUCGCAACUGGAGAGCGGCCCGGCCACGCCGUAAAACACCCAACUUCUGAAUGUUGACCUCGAAUCAGGUAGGAAUACCCGCUGAACUUAAGC